GACACUGAACAUUGAGCCUUGAUGUGUAGGAUAGGUGGGAGGCUUUGAAGCGUGGACGCCAGUCUGCGUGGAGCCAACCUUGAAAUACCACCCUUUAAUGUUUGAUGUUCUAACGUUGGCCCCUUACCGGGGUUGCGGACAGUGUCUGGUGGGUAGUUUGACUGGGGCGGUCUCCUCCCAAAGCGUAACGGAGGAGCACGAAGGUUAGCUAAUCCUGGUCGGACAUCAGGAGGUUAGUGCAAUGGCAUA
rnacentral:rRNA from 1 species